CAGCCGCCGCGGUAAUACGAAGGGUGCAAGCGUUAAUCGGAAUUACUGGGCGUAAAGCGUGCGUAGGCGGUUUGUUAAGUCUGUUGUGAAAUCCCCGGGCUCAACCUGGGAAUGGCAAUGGAUACUGGCAAGCUAGAGUGUGUCAGAGGAUGGUGGAAUUCCCGGUGUAGCGGUGAAAUGCGUAGAGAUCGGGAGGAACAUCAGUGGCGAAGGCGGCCAUCCGGGACAACACUGACGCUGAGGCACGAAAGCGUGGGGAGCAAACAGGAUUAGAUACCCCCGUAGUCCCUGUCUCUUAUAC
rnacentral:rRNA from 1 species